GGAGAGUGAGAGGGUGAGGGAGAGGGAGAGAGAGAGGGAGAGAGAGAGGGAGAGAGAGAGAGAGGGAGAGGGAGAGGGAGGGAGAGGGAGUGGGAGUGGGAGACGGAGAGGGAGAGAGAGAGGGAGAGAGAGAGGGAGAGAGAGGGGGAGAGAGAGGGAGNNNNNNNNNNNNNNNNNNNNNNNNNNNNNNNNNNNNNNNNNNNNNNNNNNNNNNNNNNNNNNNNNNNNNNNNNNNNNNNNNNNNNNNNNNNNNNNNNNNNGUACCAAUCGGGAUCGCCAGACGGAGAUUGGUUACAAGUGAUGAACUAGGGUUUGGAGAUGAGAUGGUGCUGAUGAAGAUGUUGAUGGUGAUGAGUCCCCUCUGAUGAGAGGAGUGUUGGUGAUGACGAUGGCGACGAUUUCCCCCUCUGGGAGGGAAGUUUCCCCGGCAGGAUCGUCCUGCCGGAGCUCUAGAUUGGUUCUGCUCAAGUUUCACCUCGUGGCGGCGGCGAAUCCUCCGAAAAGCCUCCUGAUUUUUUUCACACCGAAACCCUUCUUGUAGCAAAAGAGGGGGGCAGUGGGCCAGCAGGGAGCCCACAAGCCCCCUAGGCGCGACUAGGGGGUGGCCGCUCCUAGCAGGCUUGUGGCCACCUGCUGGCGCCCCUGUGACACUUCUUCGGCCCAGUAUUUUUUAUAAAUCUAAAAAAAUCCACGUUGAUCUUCACGGCUUUUGGAGUUGCGCAGAAUAGGCAUCUCAAACUUGUUCCUUUUUCAGGCCAGAAUACCAGCUGCCGGCAUUCUCCCUCUUCAGGUAAACCUUGCAAAAUAAGAGAGAAAAGACAUAAGUAUUGUACCGUGAAGUGAAAUAACAGUCUAAAAAGCGAUAAAUAUUAACAUGAAAGCAGGAUGCAAAAUGGACGUAUCAGACUUCUCUAAGCCCUAGGCCUAUGAUGCAUUAUAUAAACUGAGGCCAGGCUAGUAAUAGACAAUCUAAUAUUCAUUACAACAAUCUCAUGGUAGAUACAUGUACUAUGCACUACCCCCAUAUCAAUACAAUCAAAAGAAAGAUGUAGGGUAUUAUCUCCUUGAGAGAGCCCGAACAUGGGUAAAAUCUGGUGUCUCUGUUACCAUCGCUCCAUGAUUCCUAGCUUAGGACCUCUACGAUGAGAUAUGCCGGAUUCAGAACCGACAAUGCCCGCGGGUAAGGCACAAUGUGCUUUCUUGUGCGCGAAGACGACCCAGACCCGUUUGGUGGCAUGAGCUUUGCUACACUUACGUAAAUUUGCUACGAAGACUUACGUAUAUGGUGAUGUGGCCUUGUUUAAUUGGCUGGCACGCCCCUCCAUCCUGAAAAUCAGGGGGAAGUGGUUAGGAUUAUGGAAGAAAAUAUCACUUUUACGUAAGAUUAAGUAGUAAUUUACGUAGGUGUAGCAUUUUUGUUGGUGGCAUCCUCACCCCGAGCAUGGUUCGUCCGGUCACGAGACAUUCGUCGGUUUUGUCCCGUCAUGGUGCCAACUCCUGCGUGGGGGCUGGUACAGGAGGAGAGUGCCCUCAAGCCGUCCAUUGGCUGAUCGUGUGUCAUGGGGGGCGUUCUAGUCAUGGCUUUUCUGUGCUUUCAUAUUCGAUGCUUUUUUAUUGGUUUUCUCUUAUGGUUUCUUGUUUUGGUUUUUCCUUUUGUGUUUUGCUUUUUUAUGUUUUUUAGUAAAAUAUGAAAUAAAAAUAAUGAAUUGUGAACAAAUAUUUAAUAUAUCAUAAACAUUAUUUGAAUACACAAUAUUAUUUUAUAAUAUACAUUGGCAGGUUUUAAUAUAUAUAUAUAUAUAUAUAUAUAUAUAUAUAUAUGUGUGUGUGUGUGUGUGUGUGUGUGUGUGUGUGUGUUUCAUUAUAUGAUUUUUUUGCAACACACUAAACCUUUUUAAAGUAUAAGGUGAACUUUUUUCACUAUAUGUUUACAUUGAACUUUUUAAAAACAAACAAUUCUCUAUAAUGUAUAAUUUAUUUUCUAACAAAUUUUUAAAUAUCAAGCUCUUUGAAAACAUUACUUGUUUUAAAACAUGAAUAAAAACAAAAUAAUACCGCUUGCUUGCGGUAAAGUGGGCCAUCACAUUUGUCGUAGCUUUAAGGCGGAGCUUCUCCUAUUUGACACGGGCACGCAUCCAAUAGGACGUCCCGUGCAAUGUGAUGCAUGGAACCUUUCCCUUGAUAAGGCUAGUCAUAGCUUGGGACUCGUAAACUUACUCAUGUGGCCGACAAUUAAAGAUGAGAGAGAGGGCUAGAGUAACAUAGGUAGAUACCGUAANNNNNNNNNNNNNNNNNNNNNNNNNNNNNNNNNNNNNNNNNNNNNNNNNNNNNNNNNNNNNNNNNNNNNNNNNNNNNNNNNNNNNNNNNNNNNNNNNNNNGCCAUCAACAGAUUCUUUCCUAGAACUGUUGCUAUCAUACUACCUUUGCUGAUUAUACCCUGCUUGCGGAUACUAAUCUUUCAGGUGUGGUUGAGCCGACAACUCAACUGCUAAUACUGGAGAAUAACCUUCCACUCCCAUCGUGUCGAACAAACAAAUUUGGGUUGAAUACUCUACCCUCGAAAACUGCCGCGAUCCCACACGCUGGUGGGCCAUUGCAAGACAAUUGCUAAUUGUUGAGCAACUGGAAGCAGCUCUUUUCUGGCGCCAUUGCCGGCGAGGGAUAACUAUAUUCUCUGAGUCACUUGGGAUUUAUAUCUGCUGAUCACUAUGAAGAAUCUGAAAGAUCCAAGAACCAAAAUCUUGCCCUCAACUACGAGGGGAGGUAAGGAACUGCCAUCUAGCUCUCCACUUGAUUCACCUUCAGUUAUGAGUAAGUUUGCGACACCACCUCCUGCUCGAAAUCUUGAUAUGUCGCCUGUGCUAGAUGAUGCUAGAGAUGCUACUGCUAUUGAUGAUGCUUAUGAUGCUACUAUGCCUGAUACUGCUAGAGAUGUUAUGCCUCGUACUACUAGAGAUACUAUGCAUGAUACUGCUAUCCAUGAUGCUAUGCUUGAUACUACUUUGCAUGAUGAUGCUAGAGAUGCUAUUUUAAGUGAUAAUGAUAUGCUUGAUACUGCUAGAGAUACUACUUUGCCCGAUAUGCCACUAGGGGUAUUCCUUGAUGCUCAUAUUGCUAGAGUUACUGCCAAUGCUCGUGAUGCUUCUGAAACUGCCGAUACUAUUGAGAUAGAACCUGCUUUUGCUCCUGCUAGAUCUAGCUCUCCUAGAUAUGAAUUUCCUGAUAUACCUGAGGGUUAUGUUAUGGAGGGAGAGAUAGCUGAGGAUUUUCUUGCGUGUAAGGAUGCCUAUGACGCUGAGAAAUUACUUCUCAAGUGGAAGAAAAAAUCUCUGAAAGCUAGGAUGAAAUACGACCCGAAGUUUGCCACCUCACCUAUCUUUAUCACCGAUGAGGAUUAUGAAUUUUCUGUCGACCCUGAGAUAAUCUCUUUAGUCGAAUCUGAUCCUUUCCAUGGUUAUGAGUCUGAGACGGUCGUAGCCCAUCUUACCAAACUACACGAUAUAGCCACCCUUUUCACUAGUGAGGAGAAGAUCCGCUACUACUAUAUCUUUAAGUUGUUUCCUUUCUCACUAAAGGAUGACGCUAAAGCCUGGUUCACUUCUCUUGAUCCUGGAUGUGUGAGUAGUCCCCAGGAUAUGGUCUAUUACUUCCAUGAGAAAUAUUUCCCUGCCCAUAAGAAGCAAGCUGCCUUGCAGGAAAUAUACAACUUUGCUCAACUCAAAGAAGAGAGUCUCCCACAAGCUUGGGGGGGGGGGCUCAUCCAGCUACAGAAUGCUUUGCCUGAUCAACCUCUUAAGAAGAACGAGAUACUUGAUAUCUUCUAUAAUGGACUUACCGAUGCUUCUAGGGACCACCUAGAUAGUUGUGCCGAUCGUGUUUUUAGGGAACGAACUAUAGAACAAGCUGAGAUUCUACUGAAUAACAUCUUGAUCAACGAUAAUGCUUGGACUAUUCCCGAACCACCUCCUAAGCCAACUCCUAAGAAAAUAGGUAUUCUAUUCCUCAGUCCCAAAGAUAUGCAAGAAGCCAAGAAAUCUAUGCAAGAGAAAGGCAUUAGAUCUGAAGAAGUCAAAAAUCUACCGCCCAUCGAAGAGAUCAAUGGUCUCGAUAACCCGAUACAACUAGUAGAGGCGAAUUCUCUGCGUAGAUUCAAUGAGAGUGAUAUUCCUUUUGACAAACCAGCUAGCCUAUGCUUUGAUGAAUUUGACAACUUUGUUGCCAAACAAUAGAGUUUCAAUGAUUAUGUUAGCAGACAAUUGGAACAAAGUACUCGUAUGCUUAGUCAUUUAAGUGCUUGUGUAGACAGAAAUAUCAAUGAUCUGAAGCUUCUGAGUAAACAUGCCUCUAUGAUUACUACUCGGGUAGAACAAGUACUUAAAGCUCAAAAUGACUUGCUCAAUGAAUUAAAUGACAACUCUGUCAGAGUCAUUACCAGAGGAGGCAAAAUGACUCAGGAACCUUUGUAUCCUGAAGGCCAUCCUAAUAGAAUUGAUCAAGAUUCUCAAGGAAUUAAUGUUGAUACACCCAAUCAUCCUAAGAAUAAGAAGAAGGAUGAUAGAAACCUACAUGUCAGUUCACCAAAUACAGUCACACCUGAAGAACCAAACGAUAUUUCUGCGUCUGAUGCAGAAACACAAUCUGGUGAUGAACAUGAACCUGGUGACAAUAUGGACAGCGAUGUUCAUAAUAAUGCUCAACCUAGCAAUAAUAAGGAUGUGGAGAUUGAACCUACGGUUAAUCCUGAUAACCCGCAACCUAAGAGAUACGAUAAGAAUGACUCCACUGCUAGGAAGCAUGGUAAAGAAAGGGAGCCAUGGGUUCAGAGACCUAUGACCUUUCCUCCUAAGCCAUCCAAGAAAAAGGAUGAUGAGGAUUUUGAGCGCUUUAUUGAAAUGUUGAGACCCGUCUUUCUGCAGAUGCGGUUAAUUGAUAUGCUCAAAAUGUCUCCAUAUGCCAAGUACAUGAAAGAUAUCGUGACCAAUAAACGGAAGAUACCAGAUCUUGAGAUCUCCACCAUGCUUGCCAAUUACACUUUCAAAGGUGGAACUCCUAAGAAACUUGGUGAUCCCGGAGUGCCCACUAUACCUUGCUCCAUUAAAGGAAACUACGUAAGAACUGCCUUAUGUGACCUUGGAGCCGGUGUUAGUGUUAUGCCUCUUUCUCUUUAUCAUAGACUUGAAACUUCUCUGCAAAUGGCCGACAAAUCAACUGCUUUCCCUGUCGGCAUUUGCGAGGAUGUGCUUGUUGUGGUUGCUAACACCACUAUCUUAAUAGACUUUGUUAUCUUGGAUAUUCUCGAGGACGAUGCCAUGGCUAUCAUCCCCGGAAGACCCUUUUUAAACAAUGCAGGGGCUGUUAUAGAUUGCAAGAAAGGCAAUGUCACUUUCCAUGUCAACCGUAAUGAGCAUACAGUGCACUUUCUAAAGAAACGAUAUCAAGUACAUUGCAUCAAUGCUAUCGAAAAAACUUCAUCGGUUCUUAUUGGGAGCUUUGAAUGCCCUAUUCCUCGUGUUAAGAUGAAGUAUGAUUUGCUUGUUGGGGAGAUUCAUACCUCCUCCUCACCAAUACUUUCGUUCAAAGCUUCAACUUUUAUCCGAGGAAGAAUCCUCCUAUGGUUGAGUUCAUGUUAUACGAUAUCCCCCAGCGCAUGACACUACAGGAUUUUUGCAAUGUGUGCAAAUUACCUUAUGUUGGGGAUAUUCAUGAUCCUCGUCCACGGGACUUGGAGGCUUUCAUAGAUACUAUUGUUGUUGGAGAGGAGAGAGGAGUGUCUCGCGCUAGAAUUGCUAGCCUACAUUUUCCUGUGCUUCAGUACUUCUCAUUAUUUGUGGGAAAAUGUUCAAUUGGCAGUGGGGAGGCUGGAUCACUUAGCUCUCCAGACCUUGCAGUUUUGCGCGAAGGCCUUUAUAACAAUAAGACUUAUAGCCUAGGUUCUAUAGUAGCUCAGCGGUUGAACACAAACCGUUCCAAAGGUGUCGUCUAUGGAGGUAUCUAUGCUACUCGUCUUGCUAGACACUUUGAGAUACCUAUUAGACUUCGCGAGGAAGAAGAAAUGCUUCUUCGUGAGAAAUAUAUGGAUUAUGACAGCAUGGUUCACCAUGAUUUUCUGGAUAGAGAUGCUAGUAGACGGAUGAUUUAUAACCUGGUAUUUAGUUAGGGUACUCGAGAGACUAUUACUUUGCCUGCUCCUUCUUUGUUCAACCUUUAUGCAGGCAGGUACAUUAUUAUGCCCUCGAACAUCUACGCGUAUUGGGGCUUGGCCCAACCACAAGUGCUUGUGCCCGAGCCGCCAGUCGAGUACCAGACGCCAGUUUAUCAGUGGGAGCCGGAGGAGCUCGCACAGCAGUGGCACCCUCAGUCCACUACGGAGGUUCCAGACGAUUACUACUCACCUUGGGAGUAGACCAAGCUAGGCCAAAAGCCUAAGCUUGGGGGAGUAUGUGUUUGCACCAACUUUACAUUCAUGCUUAUGCUUUCACUUUGUAAGUCGGUGUUUACACUUUGCCACUGUAUUAUCCGUGCUAGUUUAUUUUCGUUUUCUUGUUUUCUUGUUUUGUGUCCUUUUGAGAAAACCCAAAAAGAUUUUCCUUUCUUCUUUUGCUUGUUGGGAGCUUUCCCAUGUAAAUAGAUUUCUUUUUCUUUUAGUCGAGGUAGAAGACCAAUGUUACAGUGUUGAGUGGCUCUCGCAUGCAUACAUGUUCAUUUGUUAAAGAGCCAUAUUACUUUGUCUUCUCCUUUGUGUUUGCCUGCAGAUUCAACUUAGUCCAAUGCACGAGAACUCUUAUUAUUAUUCACAUCGUUCGAUCGUGCAAGUGAAAGGCAAUAAUGAUGAUAUAUGAUGAAGUGACUGAGACUGAAAAGCUGGUAUGAACUCUAUCUAUUUUGUUUUUGUAAAUACGACUAGCUUGUCGUCCCAGAUUCAGCUUUGUUGAGAGAGAACCAUGUUUUCAAUGACAACUUAGAGAUCAUAGUUUCUGAUGCCAUGCUUAAUUAGCUAAGAGCUUAUCAUGGUUUGUCUUGAAUGCCAACAUAGAUUUUGAGAUGACUAUGAUGUAGUAUGAUAGGAUGGUAUUCUCCUUUGAAUGAUUCAAGUGGCUUGACUUGGUGCAUGUUCAUGCAUGUAGUUGAAACAAAAUCAACAUAGCCUCUAUGAUGUUCGUGUUCAUGGUGAUUUAUAUCCUGCUCAUGCUUGCACUCAAUGUUAGUCAAACUCAUUGCAUCUUGAUGACUGUUGUUGCUCUCUAGUUGGUCGCUUCCCAGUCUUUUGCUAGCCUUCACUUGUACUAAGCGGAAUACUGCUUGUGCAUUCACUUCCAUAAACUCAAAAGUUUUUCCAUGAGAGUCCAUCAUACCUACCUAUUUGCGGUAUCUACCUGCCGUUCCAAGUAAAUUUGCAUGUGCCAUUCUCUAAACCUUCAAGAAAUAAUCUGUUUUGCUUGCCCGGACCGCUCAUGUGGUGACUGGGGGCUAUUGGUAUCUUCCAUGUUAGGUGUGUUAUCCUCGACAUGUGUUUAUUCACUGUCAUUCACGAGAAAGGGGCCGGUAUUGGAAUGCCCAGUUCCACGCUUAAAUCGAAAACAUAACUGUAAAACAAGACUCCCCCCAGAUUGAUGUUAGUAUGGACGGUACCCGAGGAUUCGGCUAGCCGUGGAGUGUGAUUGAUUGGUGGUGGGGGAGUUAAAACUUUACUUUUCUGUUUGGGAACCGCCUAUAGCAUGAGUAGCAUGGAAGAUAUUGAAAACUCUUGGUCAUUGCGUUGACAAUGAAAGCAUGCCACCCAAAAUUAUUAUCUCUAUUUUCAAAGCUUGAGCUCUGGCACCUCUGCAAAUCAAUGCUUCCCUCUGCGAAGGGUCUGGCUAUUUAUUUUCCUAUUGAGUCAUCAUAUUCUUAUAUAAGCACAAAUUAGAGAGCACCUCUGUCAUUUUUAUGCUUUGCUUUUGAUUGAUAUUGAGUAUGACUAUGAUUGGAUCUUCGUUGCUACGAAUUACAAUGUUUAGUCAGCCCUUGAUCUUUGAAAGUGCUCUGCAUUUAUGUUUUGCGGUCUCAUAAAGAGCUAGCGAGAUACCACCUAUUCAUAUUGCUUCAUGCUUGUUUUGAUUGAAUUGUUAUUAUCUGAAACUCAUUAUUAUUUGCUCGCUAGCUGUUUAUGCCAUUGAUAUUAGUUUACCAUGAGACCUAUGUGUCACUUGCUUAUGUGGUUAACUUGUGAUCUUGCUGAAAUUCUGGUUAUGAGUUAGACAUAGUUACAACAACAAGAUCAAAUAGAGUUUGUCAAAGUUUUUCUUUCUCUUUCAAUUUGUCAACUGAAUUUCUUGAGGACAAGCAAGGUUUUAAGCUUGGGGGAGUUGAUACGUCUCCAUCGUAUCUACUUUUCCAAACUCUUUUGCCCUUGUUUUGGACUCUAAUUUGCAUGAUUUGAAUCGAACUAACCCGUACUAACGUUGUUUUCAGCAGAAUUGCCAUGGUGUUGUUUUUGCGCAGAAAUAAAAGUUCUCGGAAUGACCUAAAAAUUUACGGAGAAUUUUGUGGAAUAUAUAAAAAAUACUGGCGCAAGAAUCAGCGGAGGAAGUGGAUUGUGGAGCCCACAAGCCCACCAGGCGCGGGCCCACCCUGGUCGCACCUGGCAGGCUUGUGGGGACCACAAAGCUCCACCGCCUCAAAUCUCGUGUCUAUUUAGUCCCUUUCGUCCGGAAAAAAAUCGAGGAGAAGAGUUCAUCGGUUUUUACGAUACGGAGGCGCUGCCACCUCCUGUUCUUCCUCUCGAGGGCAGAUCUGGAGUCCGUUAUGGGCUCCGGAGAGGGGAGAUCGUCGCCAUCGUCAUCACCAACCUUCCNNNNNNNNNNCGGAGAAGUGGAGCGAGGAGCCCACAAGCCCACUAGACGCGGCCCCCUAGCCACGCCUAGCAGGCUUGUGGGGCCCACGGAGCUCCACCGCCUCCAACUCCAGCUCUAUUUAGUCCCUUUCGUCCGGAAAAAAAUCAAGGAGAAGAGUUCAUCACGUUUUACGAUACGGAGGCGCCACCACCACCUGUUCUUCAUCUGGAGGACAGUUCUGGAGUCCGUUCUGGGCUCCGGAGAGGGGAGAUCAUCGCCAUCGUCAUCAUCAACCUUCCUUCAUCGCCAAUUCCAUGAUGCUCUUCACCGUUCGUGAGNNNNNNNNNNNNNNNNNNNNNNNNNNNNNNNNNNNNNNNNNNNNNNNNNNNNNNNNNNNNNNNNNNNNNNNNNNNNNNNNNNNNNNNNNNNNNNNNNNNNCUCGGUGUAGCCCCCGAGAGUCGGUCCGGCUGGGAAUCAGCCGGGCCGAGUCUCACUCGCAAAAAAAUCCUUAUUUUCUUUUACAGGAUUACCAUGAACAUCAGGUGAUCACCGACAACGCGUUGCUGGGCCGAUACAUGGAGGCGGAGGGCUAGUUGGUCGAUCUCCGGAGUCAGCUGAACCGAGCCGGCCAGCAGUGCGACGCCCUGCAGGAGGAGUGCGUCUGGCUACACCAGGAGGCGGACCUUCUCUAGGAGGAGAAGAAGGAAUGCAAGCUGGCCUAGUGCCCGGAUCAGGAGCAGCGAGACGUGGCUCACCGCGAGGCACUGGAGCAGCGGAACACGACCCAUAGCGUAGAGCUGGAGCGGCUGGACAUGGUCCAUCGCGAGGAGUUGAAGCAGCUGCAGUGGGCUCACAGUGCGGCCCUGAAGGCCAAGGACGACCGGCUGGCGGAGGAGCUUGAGAUGAUGCGAUUUGCGCAGGCCGAGCUCGUUAGCCAGGUUAAGGCAUUUGUGACCAGGGAGCGUGAGAUGGAGGAUGCGGCGCAUGAGGUGGACACGGUCCUCUCCAGUAAGUCUUCUUCAUCUUGUUUUGUUUUUCUUGUGUUGAUUUGGGCCUGGCCCCCUUUCUUCUCCUAUAUACACCGCGUGCCCGCUUUCCUCCCCAGACCUCUUCCCGGGGACACAUGAUGCGAUGGAUGCGGCCAUAGUGAUCCAUCACGAGGAGCUGCAGGACGCGGACGUCCAUAUUGUGGCGUUCGCCGGCUGGACCAUGGAGGAGCUGGGGAUCGAUGCCAAGGCCCACCGAAAGGAGUUGGCGCGAUACCUAGCGAGGCUCCAAGAGGCGGGGCUGGCCGGGUGCGGUGGAGCCGGAUUCCAUGAGCCGGCUGUCGAGGUGGCUCGAGGCUCGGAGCACCCGGAUGGGCGACUGCCGCGCCUCGACGGUGUGAGCCGGCAUGUACAUGGCACUCUGGGUCGCCAAGUCGUGGUACUCAAACCUCGAAUUGGGCCUGCUUGCGGCCUAGCAUGCCGGCAUGGAGGCGGAGCUGGCGACAGUUGAGGGCGAGCUACUCCUGCGGGCCAACGACCUCGCGUCAUUCGCCCCGUGGGAUGAGAACGUCCCCGAGCGGAGAGCCGAUUACAGUGUGGUUUCGGAGGCCCGGUAAUGGCUGGCCCUUUACUUCCCCGAAGGCAACACCGGCGAGACGGAUCUCGAGGGCACCGACUACAGUGGCGACGCACAUGCCGACCCUGCGAUGGAGGAGGACACGGGCGCGAUGGCUGAUGCGGGAGGUGUCGGAGCCAGAGAUGGGGCGUCAACCUCGACUCAUGCGGGGCAUGCCGGAGCCAACGACGGGCAUCCGCCUCGGCUGCCACGGGCCACGCAGGAGCCAAGGGUGGAGCCGCCACCGACUAGAGUUUUCCCUUUUCCUGCAUUUUGGUUAGUUCGCAGUUCCACCCACUAGGGUGUGAUGUACAAAACUUGUGGCUGUGGGCCUUUUAUGCUUUUAUGUAUUAUAUGCAUGCUUUAAAUGUUUGUUCGAAAAAAGAAAUUGUGCUUGCCGACUCAUUUUUAGUUUUCUGUUCCUUUGGUUUCCGGCUACCCACAAUCUUGCCCUCUUCUGGCUUCUGCUCCGCCAGCCCGACAGCCGGCUGCUGGUCUGUGAUUGGGAUGGGGCAUGUGCCUUUUGGGGGUGGCUGUGGAUUUCUGGAGACACGGGGACAUUUAAACUUAGAGCGAGUACGGCAGAUGCUGACUGAUAACCGUGGAGGGUCCAACUAGCCCGAGUCGGCAGCUCCUUCGUAGCCAGCGUUGGCGUGCGGCAAGCUUUUAAGUCCCAGAGUCACGCUAGCCUGAUAGUUAGGAGUCACUCUUGUCGUUGUUGUUGUUGUUGUUGUCGUUGUUGUUGGUAUUGUUGUUGUUGUUGUCGUCAUCGCUGUUGUCGUCUUCGUUGUUUUUGUUUUUUCUUGUUGUUGUCGUUGUUGUGUUGUUGCCGUUGUCGUCGUCGUCGUAGUUGUUGUUGUUGUUGUUGUUGUUGUUGUUGUUGUUGUUGUUGUUGUCAUUGUUAUCGCUGUUGUCCACUAGGUGCAUUCCUUGAUGCACAAAUUGCUAGAAUUGCUGCUAGAUGUGAUGAUAUUUCUGAAACUACUCAUACUAUUGAAGUAGAACCUGCUAUUAUGCCUGAAUUUCCUGAUAUGCCUGAGCGUUAUGUUAUGGAGGGAGAGAUAGCUGAGGAUUUUCUUGCGUGUAAGGAUAGCUAUGAUGUUGAAAAAUUACUGCACAAGUGGAAAGAAAAAUCUCUGAACUCUAGGAUGAAAUACGACCCGAGGUUUGCUGCUUCGCCUAUCUUUGUGACCGAUAAGGAUUAUGAAUUCUCUGUCGACCCUGAGUUAAUCACUCUAGUCGAAUCUGAUCCUUUUCACGGCUAUGAGUCUGAAACGGUUGUAGCCCAUCUUACCAAACUACACGAUAUAGCCACCCAAUUCACUCGUGAGGAAAAGAUCUGCCACUACUAUAUCCUCAAGCUGUUUCCUUUCUUGCUAAAGGAUGAUGCUAAGACUUGGUUCACUUCUCUUGCUCCUCAUUGUGUGUGUAGCCCCCAGGAUAUGGUCUACUACUUCUCUGAAAAAUAUUUCCCUACCCAAAAGAAGGAAGCUGCCUUGCAGGAGGGAGAGAGAGAGAGGGAGAGGGAGAGAGAGAGGGAGAGGGAGAGANNNNNNNNNNNNNNNNNNNNNNNNNNNNNNNNNNNNNNNNNNNNNNNNNNNNNNNNNNNNNNNNNNNNNNNNNNNNNNNNNNNNNNNNNNNNNNNNNNNNGAGCUUAAGAUCAUUGACAUUUUUGUCCACACAAGCACUUAAAUGACUAAGCAUACGAGCAUUCUGUUCCAAUUGUGUGCUAACAUAAUCAUUGAAACUUUGUUGUUUGGCAACAAAGUUAUCAAAUUCAUCUAGGCAUAAGCUAGCAGGUUUAUCAAAAGGAAUAUCACUCUCAUCAAACCUACGCAGAGAAUUUACUUCUACUACCUGUAUCGGGUUAUCAAGACCAUGGAUCUCUUCGAUAGGUAGUAGAUUUUUGACAUCUUCAGAUUUAAUGCCUUUCUCUCUCAUAGAUUUCUUAGCUUCUUGCAUAUCUUCAGGACUGAGGAAUAGAAUACCUCUUUUCUUUGGAGUUGGCUUAGGAGGUGGUUCGGGAAAAGUCCAAGCAUUCUCAUUGCACAAGAUAUUAUUCAAUAGGAUCUCAACUUGUUCUACAGUUCGUUACCUAAAAACACAACCGGCACAACUAUCUAGGUGGUCUCUAGAAGCAUCGGUAAGUCCAUCAUAGAAGAUAUCAAGUAUUUCAUUCUUCUCAAGAGGGUGAUCAGGCAAAGCAUUCAGUAGCUGGACGAGCCUCCCGCAAGCUUGUGGGAGACUCUCUUCUCCAGCUUGAGCAAAGCUGUAUAUUUCUUGCAAGGCAGCUUGCUUCUUAUGGGCAGUGAAAUAUUUUUCACAGAAGUAGUAGACCAUAUCCUGGGGGCUACGCACACAACCAGGUGCAAGAGAAGUGAACCAGGUCUUAGCAUCAUCCUUUAGCGAGAAAGGAAACAACUUAAGGAUAUAGUAGUGGCGGAUCUUUUCCUCACUCGGGAAUAGGGUGGCUAUAUCGUGUAGUUUGGUAAGAUGAGCUACAACCGUUUCAGAUUCAUAACCGUGAAAAGGAUCAGAUUCGACCAAAGUGAUUAACUCAGGGUCGACAGAGAAUUCAUAAUCCUUAUCGGUCACNNNNNNNNNNUAGCAAACUUUGGGUCGUAUUUCAUCUUAGCGUUCCAAAGAUUUUUCUUUCCACUUGAGCAGUAAUUUCUCAACAUCAUAGCUAUCAUUACAAGCAAGAAAGUCCUCAGCUAUCUCUCCCUCCAUAAAAUAACCCUCAGGCAUAUCAGGCAAUUCAUAUCUAGGAGAGCUAGUUCUAACAGGCAAAAUAACAGGUUCUACUUCAAUAGUAUCAGCAGUUUCAGAAGUAUCAUCACAUCUAGCAGCAAGUCUAGCAAUUUGUGCAUCAAGGAAUGCACCUAGUGGCAAAGUAGUAUCAAGCAUAGCAUCGUCAUAAGAAUCAUGGGCAGCAUAACUAGCAUCAUCAAGCACAGGCGACAUAUCAAGAUUUCUAGCAGGAGGUGGUGUCGCAAACUUACUCAUAACUGAAGGUGAAUCAAGUGCGGAGCUAGAUGGCAGUUCCUUACCUGCCCUCGUAGUGGAGGGCAAGACUUUAGUUCUUGGAUCUAUCAGAUUCCUCAUAGUGACCACCAGACGUAAAUCCCAAGUGACUCAGGGAAUAUAGUCGUGCUUCCCCGGCAACGGUGCUAGAAAAUUGUCUUGAUAACCCACAAGUAUAGGGGAUCACAACAGGUUUCGAGGGUAGAGUAUUCAACCCAAAUUUAUUGAUUUGACUCAAGGGGAAGCCAAAGAAUAUUCUCAAGUAUUAGCAGUUGAGUUGUCAAUUCAACCACACCUGGAAGAUUUAGUAUCUGCAGCAAAGUAUCAGUAGCAAGGUAGUAUGAUAGUACCAGUAGCAACAGUAAACAGUAGCAACAAAGUGACAAUAGUAGAAGCAAUUAACAACAGUAGCAACAGAGUGAGAGUAGCAGUAGUGACAGAGUAGCAGCAAAGUAACAUAGCAAGGACCAGUAGGAAAAACUCGUAGGCAUUGGAUCGGUGAUGUAUGAUUAUGCCGGAUGCUAUUCAUCAUGCAACAGUUAUAACACGGAGAGAUAUGUAACUAGCUCCAGUUCGUCAAUGUAAUGUAGGCAUGUAUUCCGUAUGUAGUCAUACGUUCUUCGGGAAAAGAACUUGCAUGACAUCUAUUGUCCAUCCCUCCCGUGGCAGCGGGGUCCAAAUGGAUAGUACGAGAUAUUAAGGUUCUCCUUUUAAUAAAGAACCGGACCAACGCAUUAACACUUAGUGAAUACAUGAACUCCUCAUACUAUGGUCAUCUUCGGGAGUGGUUCCGGCUAUUGUCACUCCGGGGUUGCCGGGCCAUAACACAUAGUAGGUGACUACAACUUGCAAGACAGGAUCAGGAACACACAUAUAUUGGCGACAACAUAAUAGGUUCAGAUCUGAAAUCAUGGCACUCGGGCCCUAGUGACAGGCAUUAAGCAUGGCAAAGUAGUAGCAACAUCAAUCUCAGAACAUAGUGNNNNNNNNNNNNNNNNNNNNNNNNNNNNNNNNNNNNNNNNNNNNNNNNNNNNNNNNNNNNNNNNNNNNNNNNNNNNNNNNNNNNNNNNNNNNNNNNNNNNAGGCCAAAGUUGUCGUUUCUUAAAGUUUGGGGAUGUGAUGCUUAUGUCAAAAAGCUUCAGCCUGAAAAGCUGGAACCCAAAGCGGAAAAAUGCGUCUUCAUAGGCUACCCAAAAGAGACAGUUGGGUACACCUUCUAUCUCAAAUCCGAGGGCAAAGUGUUUGUUGCUAAGAACGGAACUUUUCUCGAGAAGGAGUUUCUCUCGAGGGAAUUGAGUGGGAGGAAGAUAGAACUUGACGAGGUUGUCGAACCUCUCAUCCCUCUGGAUGGUGGCACAGGACAAGGGGAAACUCCUGUGAUUGCGACGCCGGUUGAGGAGGAAGUUAAUGAUGAUGAUCAUGAAACUCUAGUUCAAGUUUCUGUUGAACCACGCAGGUCGACGAGAUCACGCGCUGCUCCAGAGUGGUACGGUAAUCCCGUCUUGACAAUCAUGUUGUUAGACAACAAUGAACCUGCAAAUUAUGAAGAAGCAAUGGUGGGCCCAGAUUCCAACAAAUGGCUAGAAGCCAUGAAAUCCGAGAUAGGAUCCAUGUAUGAAAACAAAGUGUGGACUUUGGAGAUACUGCCUGAGGGCCGCAAGGCUAUUCAGAACAAAUGGAUCUUUAAGAAGAAGACGGACGCUGACGGUAAUGUGACCGUUUAUAAAGCUCGACUUGUGGCAAAGGGUUUUUCACAAGUUCGAGGAGUUGACUACGAUGAGACAUUCUCACCCGUAGCGAUGCUUAAGUCCGUCAGAAUCAUGUUAGCAAUAGAUGCAUUUUUCUAUUAUGAAAUCUGGCAGAUGGAUGUCAAAACGGCGUUCCUUAACGGUUUCCUUAAGGAAGAGUUGUAUAUGAUGCAACCCGAAGGUUUUGUCGAUCCUAAGAAUGCUAACAAGGUGUGCAAGCUCCAGCGAUCCAUUUAUGGACUGGUGCAAGCAUCUCGGAGUUGGAANNNNNNNNNNNNNNNNNNNNNNNNNNNNNNNNNNNNNNNNNNNNNNNNNNNNNNNNNNNNNNNNNNNNNNNNNNNNNNNNNNNNNNNNNNNNNNNNNNNNCUCUAUUUUCAGCAGAAUUGCCAUGGUGUUGUUUUUGUGUAGAAAUGAAAGUUCUCGGAACAUCCUGACAAUUUACGGAGAAUAUUUCUGGAAAAUAUGAAAAAUACCUGCGCAAAGAUCCACCGAAGGGGACGGGCCAGUGGGCCACAAGCCCUGUAGCCGCGGCCUCCCCCCUGGCCGCGGCUACCAGGCUUGUAGGGCCCACGUGGCUCUGCCGCCCCCAAUUCCAGCGCUAUUUAUUCCCUUUCGUCCCGGAAAAAAAUCAAGGGAGAAGAGUUCAUCGCGUUUCACGAUCCAGAGGCGCCGCCACAUCCCAUUCUUGCCCUAGGGGGAAGAUCUGGAGUCCGUUUUGGGCUCCGGAUCAAGGAGAUCGUCGCCAUCGUCAUCAUCAACCUUCUUCCCUCUCCAAUUCCAUGAAGCUCUUCAUCGUUCGUGAGUAAUCUAUUUGUAGGCUCGCUGGGUGGUGAUGAGUAGGAUGAGAUCUAUCAUGUAAUCGAGUUAGUUUUGACGGGGAUUGAUCCNNNNNNNNNNNNNNNNNNNNNNNNNNNNNNNNNNNNNNNNNNNNNNNNNNNNNNNNNNNNNNNNNNNNNNNNNNNNNNNNNNNNNNNNNNNNNNNNNNNNGAGGGGGGAGAGAGAGGGAGAGGGAGAGGGAGAGGGAGAGAGAGAGAUGGAAAGAGAGAGAGAGGGAGAGGGAGAGGGAGAGGGGGAGAGGGAGAGGGAGGGAGGGAGAGAGGGAGGGGGAGAGGGAGAGGGAUAGUUGGAGAGGGAAAGGGAGAGGGAGAGGGAGAGAGGGAGAGGGUGAUGGAGAGAGAGAUGGAGAGAGAGAGGGAGAGAGGGAGAGGGGGAGGGAGGGGAGAGAGAGAGAGGGAGAGGGGAUUAGGAGAGGGAGAGGGAGAGAGGGAGAGGGAGAGGGAGAGGGGAGGGAGAGGGAGACUGAGAGGGAGAUUGAUAGAUAGAUAGAUAGAUAGAUAGAUAGAUAGAUAGAUAGAU
rnacentral:lncRNA from 1 species